UUGAUAGGCGGGGGGUGGAAGCGCAGCAAUGUGUGGAGCUGACCCGUACUAAUGGUCGAGGGCUUUGA
rnacentral:rRNA from 1 species